rnacentral:rRNA from 1 species
CCUACGGGAGGCAGCAGUAGGGAAUCUUGCGCAAUGGGGGCAACCCUGACGCAGCAACGCCGCGUGUGGGAUGACGGCUUUCGGGUUGUAAACCACUUUCAGUGAUGACGAAAAUGACGGUAAUCACAGAAGAAGGUCCGGCCAACUACGUGCCAGCAGCCGCGGUAACACGUAGGGACCGAGCGUUGUCCGGAUUUAUUGGGCGUAAAGAGCUCGUAGGCGGUUCUGUAAGUCGGAUGUGAAAACUCAGGGCUCAACCCUGAGACGCCAUCUGAUACUGCAGUGACUAGAGUCCGGUAGAGGAAGAUGGAAUUCCUGGUGUAGCGGUGGAAUGCGCAGAUAUCAGGAGGAACACCAACGGCGAAGGCAGUCUUCUGGGCCGGUACUGACGCUGAGGAGCGAAAGCAUGGGGAGCAAACAGGAUUAGAUACCCUGGUAGUCCAUGCCGUAAACGUUGGGCACUAGGUGUGGGGUCUUCUAACGGAUUCCGUGCCGUAGCUAACGCAUUAAGUGCCCCGCCUGGGGAGUACGGUCGCAAGAUUAAAACUCAAAGGAAUUGACGG